rnacentral:rRNA from 1 species
UCCUACGGGAGGCAGCAGUGGGGAAUAUUGCACAAUGGGGGAAACCCUGAUGCAGCCAUGCCGCGUGUGUGAAGAAGGCCUUAGGGUUGUAAAGUACUUUCAGCGGGGAGGAAGGGAGUAAAGUUAAUACCUUUGCUCAUUGACGUUACCCGCAGAAGAAGCUCGUGUACCAC